rnacentral:rRNA from 1 species
GCACGAAGCCGGAAUCGCUAGUAAUCGCAGAUCAGAAUGCUGCGGUGAAUACGUUCCCGGGUCUUGUACACACCGCCCGUCACACCAUGGGAGUCGGAAAUGCCCGAAGUCAGUGGCCCAACCGGAAGGAGGGAGCUGCCGAAGGCAGGUCCGGUGACUGGGGUGAAGUCGUAACAAGGUAAC